rnacentral:tRNA from 1 species
GGGGAUGUAGCUCAGCUGGGAGAGCGCCUCGUUCGCAACGAGGAGGUCACGGGUUCAAGUCCCGUCAUCUCCACCA